GGCUGAUCUAACUGCAGUGGUGUUCACAACUAAUUGAUCACAACAUGUUAAAAAUUUCUGUUUCUUCUCCACUCCCACUGCUUUACUUCACUGGCCUUAA
rnacentral:Y_RNA from 1 species